rnacentral:lncRNA from 1 species
ACUGGCCUGAGAUAUCAAGGAAAGUGAGAGAGCUAACAUAGCUUAAUUUUAUUAAGAAUUUGGAUUCUGUCCAACACAGAACCUGACACUAGAAAAUGUGACUUAGAUCACCACCCACUCUAUUAAAAUCGCAUCACACUAUUUGCUAGGAAUGAUUGAUCAUGUAUCUGGGUAAGAUGUCCUUCAUUUCUAUUUAUUUGCAUUCCUCUUCCUCCAUCUUUGAGAACUAAGUUUAGUAAUCAAAGUUUAGAGAUGAAGUUACUUAGAAUGACUUUUCAUAUCCACCCUGAUACCUCUUUCAGAUAUUUUCUAAUAUUCUUUUAAAGUAUAAAAGAAAUUGAAGGCUAUCAAUCACCAUCAUGGGAAAAUAGUUGGUUCCAAGACUGAACAGUGCAA